CAGGGAGACAACAAAAUGUUUAAUAUUAUUAUUUUGUCACCUUAGGUCGAUCGGUAUCUCACAUUCUUAUUUACUAAGAAUUUCAUUUCCUAAGUUUUUCUAGGUCACACCCAUUAUUUUUCCUGGGCCAUUAGCUCAGGUGGUUAGAGCGCACCCCUGAUAAGGGUGAGGUCCCUGGUUCAAGUCCAGGAUGGCCCAUAUCUCUAUGUUGGGGGUAUAGCUCAGUUGGUAGAGCGCCUGCUUUGCAAGCAGGAUGUCAGCGGUUCGAGUCCGCUUACCUCCACUGAUUACCACCUCUCCCAUACUUUAGAGAAGGGAAAUGUUUUGAGUUGUGAUCAGAUUCUGAACGAUUCUAGCUUCCUAAUGAAAUCAUUAAGAUGCUGGACUCAUUGAAUUAAAUUCAUUGUUUUCAGAGAACCUUGACAACUGCAUAGAUUAUUUUUUUAAAGACAAUAAGCAUCUUUAAUGAUGCAGAUUUAUUAUUUUUGCGAGUGCAUUAAUAACAAUUCUAUUAAGCUGAUGCUUCA
rnacentral:tRNA from 1 species